CGCGUGAGUGAAGAAGGCUUCGGGUUGUAAAGCUCUUUUGUUAGGGAAGAAAUCCUUAAGGCUAAUACCCUUGGGGGAUGACGGUACCUAAAGAAUAAGCACCGGCUAACUACGUGCCAGCAGCCGCGGUAAUACGUAGGGUGCAAGCGUUAAUCGGAAUUACUGGGCGUAAAGCGUGCGCAGGCGGUCUGAUAAGACAGUCGUGAAAUCCCCGAGCUUAACUUGGGAACUGCGAUUGUAACUGUCAGACUAGAGUGUGUCAGAGGGAGGUAGAAUUCCACGUGUAGCAGUGAAAUGCGUAGAGAUGUGGAGGAAUACCGGUGGGCGAAGCGGCCUCCUGGGAUAACACUGACGCUCAUGUACGAAAGCGUGGGGAGCNAACAGGAUUANAUACCCUGGUAGUCCACGCCCUAACGAUGUCUCUGGUUGUUGGGGAUUCAUU
rnacentral:rRNA from 1 species